GUUAAGUUAGUUUAUAAUAAAAUAUCAGCCUGUGGAUUUGAUGAAAAACUUUGUUUACUUAACC
rnacentral:tRNA from 1 species